AUGGAGGGUGGGAGCUGUGGCUGGAGCCAUGCAGGAAGACCUCAUCCCUCCCUCUCUCUGGGAAGAAGGGACGCCCAGGGGAUGGUGAAGAUCUCCCAGGAACUGCCUGAGGUUGGUAGAACCAGAGUCUUCUAGGCAGGAGUGUGGAGUUUAUUAUGGUGGUUGUUAUGCAAGUUUACACAGUAGAAAAAUGAAAGCUAAUUUUAUGCCUGAUAUAAAGACUUGAUUAACCUUCACGGACAAACUGCCUCAUUUCAUAAUUGAGGAGAAUAAGGCACAGAGACACCUAGCACCUUGCCUGUGGAGGCAUGGGAAGUUACAGAGUUGGAACUAACAUUUCGCCCUGAAUUAACAAAGAUUCCAUAAGACUAACCCCUACCCCCAUCUCUUGGGCUUUGACUCCCCAACACUUGAAAAAAACUGCAAAGCAGAGGCA
rnacentral:lncRNA from 1 species